CCUACGGGAGGCAGCAGUGAGGAAUAUUGGGCAAUGGGCGAGAGCCUGAACCAGCCAAGUCGCGUGAGGGAGUACUGCCCUAUGGGUUGUAAACCUCUUUUGUCGGGGAGCAAAAGCCGGACGUGUCCGGCUGUGAGAGUACCCGAAGAAAAAGCAUCGGCUAACUCCGUGCCAGCAGCCGCGGUAAUACGGAGGAUGCGAGCGUUAUCCGGAUUUAUUGGGUUUAAAGGGUGCGCAGGCGGAUUUUUAAGUCAGCGGUAAAAUCGUGGGGCUCAACCCCAUCCAGCCGUUGAAACUGGGGAUCUAGAGUGUGCGAGAGGUAUGCGGAAUGCGUGGUGUAGCGGUGAAAUGCAUAGAUAUCACGCAGAACCCCGAUUGCGAAGGCAGCAUACCGGUGCACAACUGACGCUCAGGCACGAAAGCGUGGGUAUCGAACAGGAUUAGAUACCCGAGUAGUC
rnacentral:rRNA from 1 species